UAAAAAAAAGAGAAAAGAGAUGGGAUAAUGAGAGAGAAGAGAUGGGAAAAGGAGAGAGAAGAGAUGGCCGAUGAAAAAAAUGUAAUUAAAAGGUAAAUAAGUAAAAUAAUUUAUCUAAAGUGUCUUCUCCAUUUAAAGUGCCUAAUUAGGAACUAACUUUCAAAAAAGUGUCUAAUCACGUAAUAUUCUCUUCUAAUUAUUAUGAGGAGAAGAAAAACAAAAGUUUUUAAUUAUUAUUUAUUUUA
rnacentral:sRNA from 1 species